GUCGUUAGCUCUAAAUACUUUUUUUUCCUCUUUAACUUUAAAAUUUCAUUUUUUUUUCGUUAUUAAUACUCUAUGAAGGAAUUAACAGUAUUCUCGAGGAUUUUGUAUUCGCCAGCAUUCUAUUUAAAAGAUAACUAUUGCGCUCCGCGGACGUUUAUAAAAUCUUCGGUUGCUACGUCAGGCAGAUGUUAUGAUGAAACAGACUAUAAUAUCUUAUAUGCUUUGACUUGCCACAAAGACAAACUUUCCUGCUUCAGUAAAGAAGAUACUACACGGGAAGAUUACUAAUAUCAAUAAAAUUGAAGCUUCUGUAUUUAUAAGUUAUCAAAAUUUUUUUAUAUAUAUGUAAAAAAUCACAUUUUUAAUUUGAAAAAAAAAAAAAAAAUUAUUAAUAAGCAUCAGUACCCG
rnacentral:lncRNA from 1 species